GAUGAACGCUGGCGGCGUGCCUAAUACAUGCAAGUCGAACGGGAAUCUUCGGAUUCCAGUGGCGAACGGGUGAGGAAUACAUAGGUAACCUGCCCCUCCGAGGGGGACAACAGACGGAAACAUCUGCUAAGACCGCAUAGCCACAGGGAAGGCAUCUUCCCUGUGCCAAAUGUCCUUUCGGGGACAGCGGGGGGAUGGACCUAUGCCGCAUUAGCUGGUUGGCGGGGCAACGGCCCACCAAGGCGACGAUGCGUAGCCGGCCUGAGAGGGCGGACGGCCACACUGGGACUGAGACACGGCCCAGACUCCUACGGGAGGCAGCAGUAGGGAAUUUUCGGCAAUGGGGGAAACCCUGACCGAGCAACGCCGCGUGAACGAUGAAGGCCUUCGGGUCGUAAAGUUCUGUUGCGAAGGAAGAACGCCGGUGUCAGUAAUAUGCGCGCUCGGGUGACGCACU
rnacentral:rRNA from 1 species